AGAUAUAUAGCUCAGUUGGCUAGAGCAGAGAUCUUUUAAAUCUUUUGUCAAAGGUUCGAAUCCUUUUAUAUCUA
rfam:PVC group bacterium (ex Bugula neritina AB1) isolate AB1-3 AB834_contig000060, whole genome shotgun sequence.